GCGGGUACUCGAGUGGCGAACGGGUGAGUAACACGUGGGUGAUCUGCCUUGCACUUCGGGAUAAGCUUGGGAAACUGGGUCUAAUACCGGAUAGGACAGCUGUUUAGUGUCAGUUGUGGAAAGUUUUUUCGGUGCAAGAUGAGCUUGCGGCCUAUCAGCUUGUUGGUGGGGUAAUGGCCUACCAAGGCGUCGACGGGUAGCCGGCCUGAGAGGGUGUACGGCCACAUUGGGACUGAGAUACGGCCCAGACUCCUACGGGAGGCAGCAGUGGGGAAUAUUGCACAAUGGGCGGAAGCCUGAUGCAGCGACGCCGCGUGGGGGAUGAAGGCCUUCGGGUUGUAAACUCCUUUCGACAGGGACGAAGCGUAAGUGACGGUACCUGUAUAAGAAGCACCGGCUAACUACGUGCCAGCAGCCGCGGUAAUACGUAGGGUGCGAGCGUUGUCCGGAAUUACUGGGCGUAAAGAGCUCGUAGGUGGUUUGUCGCGUCGUCUGUGAAAUUCCGGGGCUUAACUCCGGGCGUGCAGGCGAUACGGGCUGACUUGAGUGCUGUAGGGGAGACUGGAAUUCCUGGUGUAGCGGGUGAAAUGCGCAGAUAUCAGGAGGAACACCGAUGGCGAAGCAGGUCUCUGGGCAGUAACUGACGCUGAGGAGCGAAAGCAUGGGUAGCGAACAGGAUUAGAUACCCUGGUAGUCCACGCUGUAAACGCAU
rnacentral:rRNA from 1 species